rnacentral:rRNA from 1 species
UACGGGGGGGGUAAGCGUUGUUCGGAAUCACUGGGCGUAAAGCGCACGUAGGCGGAUUGCUAAGUCAGGGGUGAAAUCCUGGAGCUCAACUCCAGAACUGCCUUUGAUACUGGUGAUCUUGAGUCCGGGAGAGGUGAGUGGAACUGCGAGUGUAGAGGUGAAAUUCGUAGAUAUUCGCAAGAACACCAGUGGCGAAGGCGGCUCACUGGCCCGGUACUGACGCUGAGGUGCGAAAGCGUGGGGAGCAAACAGG